ACUAAGGGCUUUGUUAUGGACUGAAAUGUGUCCUCUCCCCAGAGUCACAGGAUUAUGAAGCCAUAAUCCUCAAUGUGACUAUAUUUGGAGCAGGGGCCUUUACAGACAUAAUUAAAUUAAAUGAGGUCAUAAGAGUGGGGCCCUAGUCUGAUAGGACUGGUGUCCUUACAAGAAGAGGGAGAGUCCUCAGAGAGUCCUCUCUCUCGGCAUGGACACAAAAGAAAAGCCAUGUGAGGACACAGAGAGAAGGUGGCUGUCUACGAGCUAGGAAGAAAGGCCUCACCGGAAACCAACCCUCACAGCAGCUCCAUCUUGGACUUCCAGCCUCCGGAACUGUGAGAAAAUAAAUGUUUGCAAUUCAGGUCGGUUGUAUUUUGUGAAGGCCAUCCUAGCAAAUGAAUACUCCUAACAUUGUCUCUUUAAGAGCUCACCAGCCUGAGGUAGGAAUCAUUCCAUCUGUGUUACUAAUGAGACCGCUGAGGAUCAAAGGGGUUUUCCACCACAUCCACUCACCUCUACAUGGCGAAAACCAAGGGUUCACUCUCUGUCUUCAGGGAGCUCCACCCAGCAGCAGCGUUUGACAGAGCUGUUCACUUCCUCUUCCUGGAGCUGUGGCUUCCAGAGCCCAUGCUCAGCAGUUCCCCUCCUUCUUCGACUGCUCCUCUCUUAGGCUCAGAGCCACUCAGACAUUGGGAAGCAAGUUUGUCAAGAUGACAGAGAACCGAGGUAAUGGAUUCGAGUGAUGAAACAGGAAGUUCAUUCAUGAGUUUUUGGCCACACCUCCAAAGUGACGACUUAGCCAGAAAUGGGAUAACUGGGUUUCCCUACUUCUCUUUUAUCAUCCUCAAUGAGAGUGACCAAAUAUUAGAGCUAGAUGGAACCUUAGUGAAAAUCUGGCUACUCGUCCCGUCCCACCAGCCUGCCACCCAUUUCAAGUUUGAAGAGACAAAGACACAUGGACCUUAUGUAAUUACUGGGGAUUACCCCAGGAGUCUGUGGCAAAAGUCAGCUUCUUCCCUCCCUGCUUCCCCGCCCUGUCUCUGGUACUUUCUACCAACACUGGGCUGUUUCUGUGAUCACACUUAAGCGUACCUAACCUGCGAAUGCUGUAUAGAAGGUGCUAAUGAACAUGAUUUAGCUUUAACACUCAGUUUUCUAAAGGGACACGUGGGGGCAGCAAAUGUUUAGGCAAAAACAAUUCCAGUUCUAGCCUCUACUGUCUACAUAUGUGUAUACAUUUGGGAAACGUUUGGGAAAGGGAUAUUUGAGAGCUUCUUUUUCUUUUUUGUGGUUUAGUUAUUUGAUGAUAUUGAGAUUGUUUCUGAGCCAUGUGCUUCAACAUCGGAUUGGGGAUUUCAGAAAAAGUUUUAGUCACUGUGAUUCCAUUUAGCUUCCAAAUGUGUCUCUGCUAAGAGACUUAAAAGCACUCAUAAAUAGCACGUGUGUCUUCUUUGCAGUGUUUGCUAAUUUUGAGUCACAUCUUUUUAGAAAAUCAUGAGAUUUGGUGUCACAGAGACUGGAAUAAAUAUAGUCAAACUUAUUGGUGAAGAUUUCCUUUAGCUGUUUUCAUAAUCCAUUUCCAUUGUUAUGAUUAUUGAUGAAUAAAACAUUUUCUUUAGGUAGAUACUUCUUUUUUCCCCCCACCUUGAUUUAAUGUUUCCACUCUUAUUGUCAAGUUUCUUAUUACUCCCUAAUAACUCUCAAUAAAAUAAUGAUUCCUGGGAGAUUA
ensembl:lncRNA LINC00518 long intergenic non-protein coding RNA 518